rnacentral:rRNA from 1 species
GUGAAAUUGUUGAAAGGGAAGCGCUUGCAGCCAGACGUGCCCGUAGUUGCUCAUCGGGGGUUCUCCCCCGUGUACUCUUCUAUGGGCAGGCCAGCAUCAGUCCGGGCGGUUGGAGAAAGACCUGUGUCAUGUAGCUGUUUUCGGGCAGUGUUAUAGGGCAGGUGGAAUGCAACCAGCCUGGACUGAGGUCCGCGCAUCUGCUAGGAUGCUGGCGUAAUGGCUGUAAGCGGCCCGUCUUGAAACACGGACCAAGGAGUCUAACAUCUAUGCGAGUGUUUGGGUGUCAAGCCCGAGCGCGUAAUGAAAGUGAACGGAGGUGGGAACCUUUUAGGUGCACCAUCGACCGAUCCUGAUGUCUUCGGAUGGAUUUGAGUAAGAGCAUAGCUGUUGGGACCCGAAAGAUGGUGAACUAUGCCUGAAUAGGGUGAAGCCAGAGGAAACUCUGGUGGAGGCUCGCAGCGGUUCUGACGUGCAAAUCGAUCGUCAAAUUUGGGCAUAGGGGCGAAAGACUAAUCGAACUAUCUAGUAGCUGGUUCCUGCCGAAGUUUCCCUCAGGAUAGCAGUAACGUUUUCAGUUUUAUGAGGUAAAGCGAAUGAUUAGAGGCCUGGGGGUUGAAACAACCUUCACCUAUUCUCAAACUUUAAAUAUGUAAGAAGUCCUUGUUUCUUAAUUGAACGUGGACAUUUGAAUGUAUCGUUACUAGUGGGCCAUUUUUGGUAAGCAGAACUGGCGAUGCGGGAUGAACCGAACGCGGGGUUAAGGUGCCAGAAUGCACGCUCAUCAGACACCACAAAAG